ACCUUGGCUCUAGACUGCUUACUGCCCGGGCCACCCUCAGUAACAGUCUCCAGUCACGGCCA
rnacentral:pre_miRNA from 2 species